rnacentral:rRNA from 1 species
UUCUUUUUGAUUUAAAUAUAAAGUAUAACCUGCCCAUUGAAAAUUUUAAAAGGCUGCAGUAUAUUGACUGUACAAAGGUAGCAUAAUCAUUAGUUUUUUAAUUGAGAACUUGUAUGAAUGGUUGAAUGAGAAAUAGACUUUUUUAAUAGAAAAAUUGAAUUUUACAUUUUAAUUAAAAGGUUAAAAUGAUUUUAAAAGACGAGAAGACCCUAUAGAGUUUUAUAAUUUAUGUUUAAUAUUUUAAAAAAAUUAAUUGAUAUUUUUAUUUUAAUAAAUUAUUUUGUUGGGGUGAUAAUAAAAUUUAAUUAACUUUUAUUUUUUUUUAUACAUUAAUAUAUGGAAAAUUGAUCCAUUACUAAUGAUUAAAAAAUUAAAUUACCUUAGGGAUAACAGCGUAAUUUUUUUUUUAAGUUCAUAUUAAUAAAAAAUUUUGCGACCUCGAUGUUGGAUUAAGAUUUGAUUUUAGGUGCAGAAGUUUAAAGUUUAAGUCUGUUCGACUUUUAAAUUCUU